rnacentral:rRNA from 1 species
CAUGCUACCCUAAAUGCACCUGAUCUCAUCUGAUCUUGGAAGCUCAGCAGGGUCGGGCCUGGUUAGUACUUGAGUGGGAGAGCUCACCAUGAACCCAUGUU